CAGGCUUAACACAUGCAAGUCGAGGGGCAGCAUGGUCUUAGCUUGCUAAGGCCGAUGGCGACCGGCGCACGGGUGAGUAACACGUAUCCAACCUGCCGUCUACUCUUGGACAGCCUUCUGAAAGGAAGAUUAAUACAAGAUGGCAUCAUGAGUCCGCAUGUUCACAUGAUUAAAGGUAUUCCGGUAGACGAUGGGGAUGCGUUCCAUUAGAUAGUAGGCGGGGUAACGGCCCACCUAGUCUUCGAUGGAUAGGGGUUCUGAGAGGAAGGUCCCCCACAUUGGAACUGAGACACGGUCCAAACUCCUACGGGAGGCAGCAGUGAGGAAUAUUGGUCAAUGGGCGAGAGCCUGAACCAGCCAAGUAGCGUGAAGGAUGACUGCCCUAUGGGUUGUAAACUUCUUUUAUAAAGGAAUAAAGUCGGGUAUGGAUACCCGUUUGCAUGUACUUUAUGAAUAAGGAUCGGCUAACUCCGUGCCAGCAGCCGCGGUAAUACGGAGGAUCCGAGCGUUAUCCGGAUUUAUUGGGUUUAAAGGGAGCGUAGAUGGAUGUUUAAGUCAGUUGUGAAAGUUUGCGGCUCAACCGUAAAAUUGCAGUUGAUACUGGAUAUCUUGAGUGCAGUUGAGGCAGGCGGAAUUCGUGGUGUAGCGGUGAAAUGCUUAGAUAUCACGAAGAACUCCGAUUGCGAAGGCAGCCUGCUAAGCUGCAACUGACAUUGAGGCUCGAAAGUGUGGGUAUCAAACAGGAUUAGAUACCCUGGUAGUCCACACGGUAAACGAUGAAUACUCGCUGUUUGCGAUAUACUGCAAGCGGCCAAGCGAAAGCGUUAAGUAUUCCACCUGGGGAGUACGCCGGCAACAGUGAAACUCAAAGGAAUUGACGGGGGCCCGCACAAGCGGAGGAACAUGUGGUUUAAUUCGAUGAUACGCGAGGAACCUUACCCGGGCUUAAAUUGCAGAUGAAUUACGGUGAAAGCCGUAAGCCGCAAGGCAUCUGUGAAGGUGCUGCAUGGUUGUCGUCAGCUCGUGCCGUGAGGUGUCGGCUUAAGUGCCAUAACGAGCGCAACCCUUGUUGUCAGUUACUAACAGGUUCCGCUGAGGACUCUGACAAGACUGCCAUCGUAAGAUGUGAGGAAGGUGGGGAUGACGUCAAAUCAGCACGGCCCUUACGUCCGGGGCUACACACGUGUUACAAUGGGGGGUACAGAGGGCCGCUACCACGCGAGUGGAUGCCAAUCCCCAAAACCUCUCUCAGUUCGGACUGGAGUCUGCAACCCGACUCCACGAAGCUGGAUUCGCUAGUAAUCGCGCAUCAGCCACGGCGCGGUGAAUACGUUCCCGGGCCUUGUACACACCGCCCGUCAAGCCAUGGGAGCCGGGGGUACCUGAAGUGCGUAACCGCGAGGAGCGCCCUAGGGUAAAACUGGUGACUGGGGCUAAGUC
rnacentral:rRNA from 1 species